UUCCGGUUGAUCCUGCCGGACCCGACUGCUAUUUGGGUGAGAAUAAGCCAUGCGAGUUGAAUGGGAUACCUAAAGUUCCCAUAGCAAACUGCUCAGUAACACAUGAUUAACUUACCCUAUAGAGAAAAAUAACCUCGGGAAACUGAGGAUAAUGUUUCAUAAUUGAAUUGGCUUGGAAAAGUUUUUCAAUGAAAGGGAUAAAAAAAAUGGUUUUUAUCUGCUAUAGGAUAGGAUCGUGUUCGAUUAUGGUUGUUGGUGAGAUAAUGGCUCACCAAGCCGAUAAUCGAUAGGGGCCGUGAGAGCGGGAGCCCCGAGAUGGGUACUGAGACAACGACCCAGGCCUUACGAGGCGCAGCAGGCGCGGAACCUCCGCAAUACACGAAAGUGUGACGGGGUUACCCAAAGUGUUCAAUAGAACUGUAGUAGGUGAGUAAUGUCCCCUACUAGAAAGGAGAGGGCAAGGCUGGUGCCAGCCGCCGCGGUAAAACCAGCUCUUCAAGUGGUCGGGAUAAUUAUUGGGCUUAAAGUGUCCGUAGCCGGUUUAGUAAGUUCCUGGUAAAAUCGGGUAGCUUAACUAUCUGCAUGCUAGGAAUACCGCUAUACUAGAGGGCGGGAGAGGUCUGAGGUACUACAGGGGUAGGGGUGAAAUCUUAUAAUCCUUGUAGGACCACCAGUGGCGAAGGCGUCAGACUGGAACGCGCCUGACGGUGAGGGACGAAAGCCAGGGGAGCGAACCGGAUUAGAUACCCGGGUAGUCCUGGCCGUAAACGAUGCAUACUAGGUGAUGGUACGGCCAUGAGCCGUAUCAGUGCCGUAGGGAAACCGUUUAAGUGUGCCGCCUGGGAAGUACGGUCGCAAGGCUAAAACUUAAAGGAAUUGGCGGGGGAGCACCACAAGGGGUGAAGCCUGCGGUUUCAAUUGGAUUCAACGCCGGGUAAUCACUAUUGCGGCGCCUGCAGUCGACCAUAUGGGAGAGCUCCCACGCGUUGGAAUGCAUAGCUUGAGUAUUCUUACACUCGCCACCUAAUUAGUCUUGCCGUAAUCAUGGUCAUAGCUGUCUCCUUGGUCUGAAAUUGGUUAUCCGCCUCACACCUCCACACAACAUACGAACCGCGUAGAC
rnacentral:rRNA from 1 species